rnacentral:rRNA from 1 species
CCCUUAGAUGUUCUGGGCCGCACACGCGCUACACUGAAGGAGGCAGCGUGUACUCCUGGAUCGAAAGAUUUGGGUAACCCGCGAAUCUCCUUCGUGCUAGGGAUUGAGGUUUGCAAUUAUCCUUCAUGAACGAGGAAUUCCCAGUAAGUGCAAGUCAUAAGCUUGCGCUGACUACGUCCCUGCCCUUUGUACACACCGCCCGUCGCUACUACCGAUUGAAUGAUUUAGUGAGGACUUCGGACUGGGACCGAUGCGGCUUUCGGGCUGCGUCGGGAUUCUGGAAAGAUGUCCAAACUGUAUCAUUUAGAGGAAGUAAAAGUCGUAACA